AGACGAAUUUUGAUCCGCAGAUUUCUGAAUGGGGAAACCCAAUCAAUUUAUUGAUUAUUGCAUAUUGAAUACAUAGAUAUGCAAGGCAAACCUGGUGAACUGAAAUAUCUCAGUAGCUAGAGGAAAGGAAAUCAAAAGAGACUCCGUUAGUAGUGACGAGCGAACACGGACCAGGCCAGUGGUUUAUAAUUAAAAAUUAGAAUACUUUGGAAAGAGUAGCCAUAGAUGGUGAUAGCCCAGUAUAAGUAAAAAAAUUAUAAAUCCUUGAGUAGGACGGGACACGUGGAAUCCUGUUUGAAGAUGGGGGGACCAUCCUCCAAGCCUAAGUACUCCUUAACGACCGAUAGUGGACAAGUACCGUGAGGGAAAGGUGAAAAGAACCCCGGGAGGGGAGUGAAAUAGACCCUGAAAUCGAAUGCUUACAACCAGUUGGAGCCUUAUACUUAUAUUUGUGAGUAAUCACAACCUAUAUUUAUUAAGGUGACAGCGUACCUUUUGCAUAAUGGGUCAGCGAGUUAAUCUAUUAAGCAAGCUUAAGCCGUUAGGUGUAGGCACAGCGAAAGCGAGUCUGAAUAGGGCGUUUAGUUUAAUGGAUUAGACCCGAAACCAAGUGAUCUAACCAUGGCCAGGUUGAAGGUGUAGUAAAAUACAUUGGAGG
rnacentral:rRNA from 1 species